rnacentral:rRNA from 1 species
AUUGAACGCUGGCGGCAGGCCUAACACAUGCAAGUCGAGCGGAUGCGUGGAGCUUGCUCCAUGAUUCAGCGGCGGACGGGUGAGUAAUGCCUAGGAAUCUGCCUGGUAGUGGGGGACAACGUUUCGAAAGGAACGCUAAUACCGCAUACGUCCUACGGGAGAAAGCAGGGGACCUUCGGGCCUUGCGCUAUCAGAUGAGCCUAGGUCGGAUUAGCUAGUAGGUGAGGUAAUGGCUCACCUAGGCGACGAUCCGUAACUGGUCUGAGAGGAUGAUCAGUCACACUGGAACUGAGACACGGUCCAGACUCCUACGGGAGGCAGCAGUGGGGAAUAUUGGACAAUGGGCGAAAGCCUGAUCCAGCCAUGCCGCGUGUGUGAAGAAGGUCUUCGGAUUGUAAAGCACUUUAAGUUGGGAGGAAGGGCAGUAAGUUAAUACCUUGCUGUUUUGACGUUACCAACAGAAUAAGCACCGGCUAACUUCGUGCCAGCAGCCGCCGUAAAAC